rnacentral:rRNA from 1 species
GACGAACGCUGGCGGCGUGCCUAAUACAUGCAAGUCGAGCGGACCAAAGGGAGCUUGCUCCUGGAGGUUAGCGGCGAACGGGUGAGUAACACGUGGGCAACCUGCCUGUAAGACUGGGAUAACAUCGAGAAAUCGGUGCUAAUACCGGAUAAUAAAAAGAACUGCAUGGUUCUUUUUUGAAAGAUGGUUUCGGCUAUCACUUACAGAUGGGCCCGCGGCGCAUUAGCUAGUUGGUGAGGUAACGGCUCACCAAGGCAACGAUGCGUAGCCGACCUGAGAGGGUGAUCGGCCACACUGGGACUGAGACACGGCCCAGACUCCUACGGGAGGCAGCAGUAGGGAAUCUUCCGCAAUGGACGAAAGUCUGACGGAGCAACGCCGCGUGAGUGAUGAAGGUUUUCGGAUUGUAAACUUCUUUGAUCGGGGACGAAAUUGACGGUACCCGAAAAACAAGCCACGGCUAACUACGUGCCAGCAGCCGCGGUAAUGUACAGUGU